rnacentral:rRNA from 1 species
AUUGAACGCUGGCGGCAGGCCUAACACAUGCAAGUCGAACGGUAACAGGAAGAAGCUUGCUUCUUUGCUGACGAGUGGCGGACGGGUGAGUAAUGUCUGGGAAACUGCCUGAUGGAGGGGGAUAACUACUGGAAACGGUAGCUAAUACCGCAUAACGUCGCAAGCCCAAAGAGGGGGACCUUCGGGCCUCUUGCCAUCGGAUGUGCCCAGAUGGGAUUAGCUUGUAGGUGGGGUAACGGCUCACCUAGGCGACGAUCCCUAGCUGGUCUGAGAGGAUGACCAGCCACACUGGAACUGAGACACGGUCCAGACUCCUACGGGAGGCAGCAGUGGGGAAUAUUGCACAAUGGGCGCAAGCCUGAUGCAGCCAUGCCGCGUGUAUGAAGAAGGCCUUCGGGUUGUAAAGUACUUUCAGCGGGGAGGAAGGGAGUAAAGUUAAUACCUUUGCUCAUUGACGUUACCCGCAGAAGAAGCACCGGCUAACUCCGUG